rnacentral:rRNA from 1 species
AUGAAGGGCAGAAUAAGAAAGAGACUGUUUUGAUCAUAAAGAUAGAAGUUAAUUAUUAAGUAAAAAGGCUUAGAUUUUGUGGAGUGACAAGAAGACCCUAAGAGUUUAAUUAGAGUAUUUAAGUGUAAUGUUGUGUGUUUGUAUAAUAUAAUUAAGUAUAAUAGUUUGACUGGGGCGGUUAAAAUGAUAACAAUUAUUGAUAGAUAACUUUAGUGAGAGGACUAGUUAAAAUAGUAUAUCCUAAUUGGAAAGCAAAAUAAAUUACCUUAGGGAUAACAGCAUAAUCUUUUUUGAGAGAUCUUAUUGACAAAAAGGUUUGUGACCUCGAUGUUGGAUUUGAAUAACUAUAAGGAGCAGAAUUUUUGUAAGUUGGUUUGUUCAACCAUUAAAUCUCACCAUGAUUUUGA